rnacentral:ncRNA from 1 species
AUCAAGAUUAACUAUUUCUUUAGGUAAGGAUAAAGAAAAAAUGAAUAUAAAUGGAGUCCCUCCGCCGGCAGGCGCGGGUAACCCGUUGAACCCCAUUCGUGAUGGGGAUCGGGGAUUGCAAUUGUUCCCCGUGAACGAGGAAUUCCCAGUAAGCGCGGGUCAUAAGCUCGCGUUGAUUUAGUCCC